UAAGCUAAAGUUAAGCGAGACUAUGCA
rnacentral:sRNA from 1 species